rnacentral:rRNA from 1 species
GACGAACGCUGGCGGCGUGCUUAACACAUGCCAGUCGAACGGAAAGGCCCUGCUUUUGUGGGGUGCUCGAGUGGCGAACGGGUGAGUAACACGUGAGUAACCUGCCCUUGACUUUGGGAUAACUUCAGGAAACUGGGGCUAAUACCGGAUAGGAGCUCCUGCUGCAUGGUGGGGGUUGGAAAGUUUCGGCGGGUGGGGAUGGACUCGCGGCUUAUCAGCUUGUUGGUGGGGUAGUGGCUUACCAAGGCUUUGACGGGUAGCCGGCCUGAGAGGGUGACCGGCCACAUUGGGACUGAGAUACGGCCCAGACUGCAACGGGAGGCAGCAGUGGGGAAUAUUGCACAAUGGGCGGAAGCCUGAUGCAGCAACGCCGCGGGCGGGAUGACGGCCUUCGGGUUGUAAACCGCUUUCGCCUGUGACGAAGCGUGAGUGACGGUAAUGGGUAAAGAAGCACCGGCUAACUACGUG